rnacentral:pre_miRNA from 1 species
UCUUAUAGAUGAGCAAAGAAAGCGGUUUCUUGAGAUGGAAUCUAUUUCUGGCGAAGAUGCUGUGAA